rnacentral:rRNA from 1 species
GACGUAGGGGGCCAGCGUUGUUCGGAAUUACUGGGUGUAAAGGGUUCGUAGGCGGUGUGGCAAGUCGGGAGUGAAAUCUCUGGGCUCAACUCAGAGACUGCUUCCGAAACUGCUGUGCUGGAGUAUGGGAGAGGGUAGUGGAAUUUCCGGUGUAGCGGUGAAAUGCGUAGAGAUCGGAAGGAACACCAGUGGCGAAGGCGGCUACCUGGCCUAAUACUGACACUGAGGCACGAAAGCGUGGGAGCAAACAGG